rnacentral:lncRNA from 1 species
GCAUGAUAUUACUUUUUCUACUGUUCAUUUCCUUGAUAUUAUUAUUUUCAAAUGGAGACACUUAUUUUCAUGUAAUUGAUGGUGGAUACUGAAAUCAUUGUAUUUUCUGUCAUAUACUGAAAAACUUUGAGAGGGAAUUGCAGAUGUUGUCCAACUUAUCAACAAAAGCAACUCGCAUCUUCAGAGAGGGAAUUCAGUCUGCUAAUACAGCUCGUGGACUUGCUUGCUCCAGGAAUCAUGAGAUCUUCUGGACCAAUAUCU